rnacentral:rRNA from 1 species
AUUGAACGCUAGCGGGAUGCUUUACACAUGCAAGUCGAACGGCAGCGCGGACUUCGGUCUGGCGGCGAGUGGCGAACGGGUGAGUAAUGUAUCGGAACGUGCCCAGUAGCGGGGGAUAACUACGCGAAAGCGUAGCUAAUACCGCAUACGCCCUACGGGGGAAAGCAGGUGAUCGUAAGACCUUGCACUAUUGGAGCGGCCGAUUUCGGAUUAGCUAGUUGGUGAGGUAACGGCUCACCAAGGCGACGAUCCGUAGCUGGUUUGAGAGGACGACCAGCCACACUGGGACUGAGACACGGCCCAGACUCCUACGGGAGGCAGCAGUGGGGAAUUUUGGACAAUGGGGGCAACCCUGAUCCAGCCAUCCCGCGUGUGCGAUGAAGGCCUUCGGGUUGUAAAGCACUUUUGGCAGGAAAGAAACGUCGCGGGCUAAUACCCCGUGGAACUGACGGUACCUGCAGAAUAAGCACCGGCUAACUACGUG